UCUCUAUUCGGGAAACCCCCGUUUUUCACGGUUCAUGGCACCACGUGCAUUCUGUUCAUUGUUGGCUACUAUUGGCGGGAUUUUCUAUUUAUAAGUAACAGUUUUCAACUCUUCCCGGCGUAUCCAUUUUGAACUUAUAGAGGACUGUUCAUACAUUUGUUUUGAAAGUUUCGUCUUAAAGUUCUUGAAUACAAUAUGAACUUGACCUACAGUCACCUUACUUGGAAUUGUGAUGGAUUGUGGAGAGCCAGACUAUGGGUUGCCCUUAGCAUUUCUUUAAAAUGAUAACAUCAAUUAAAGAAAUUAAAAACUUUUUUAAAAUUACAUUAACCCUAGCCAUGCUGACAUCAAUUAGAGAUAACUUUUUCAUUUUCAAAAUCUGGUUAUGAUGUUGGGUGCCAUUUCUUUAACAAAUCAGCAUGGAUCCUUCCCUAUAAGCACACUAACUUUUAAGUGUAUCCUAGGUCAUUGACCAUAUUUUAAAAUGAAAUAUAAUUAACUAACUUAUGAAGAAAAUUUUAAUUGAAAAUAAUUUUACUCAUCUCUACUCUGUAGAUACUAUAUAUUGCACAAACACUGCACCUGGACUGGAGACACAACUUGACUGAAGACACAAACACUGCACCUGGACUGGAGACACAACUUGACUGAAGACACAAACACUGCACCUGGACUGGAGACACAACUUGACUGAAGACACAAACACUGCACCUGGACUGGAGACACAACUUGACUGAAGACACAAACACUGCACCUGGACUGGAGACACACCUUGACUGAAGACACAAACACUGCACCUGGACUGAAGACUGUAGACAAAAUAUUGAAGUUGAAUGGAACUAGGGACCAUUUAAACUAGCUGCUUCAAAAAAAAUAUUCAUUAUUGACUUCUUUAUUGAUGUGUUAUGAUGAAAUCAUGUUUUUGAUAAUAGCAUUAUAAAUGUAAAUGCAUUAAAACAUUGGAUUGACUUUGACUCGAGACUUGUAGUUUCUCCAGAGUAUAAAUGAGUUUGCUCAUUAAAGGGUAAAGACAAUUUCAUUUUGAUAUUUACCAAUUUCUUUACAUUUCAUAGCAAGGCUAUAAUGGUAGAUGCACCAAAAUAGAUUUUCAUAAUUGGCUCUUUUUCCACAAAUUUAAAAAAAAAUGAAAAUUGAAACAGCAAAUAGUGUCUAUUUAAAGCUGAUAAUGAUUUACAGCUUUUGUUAAAAAGACGGCCUUUUCUUUAAUAUAUGUUGCCCUCCUCGACGAAAGAAGAUAGAUUCAUGGCAGAUAGGAAGAGUCAACAUAUACAGCAUCUAGUAUAUGUUGCCUUCCACGACAGAUGAAGAGACCCAUUUGUAUAGGACUGGCCUCAUGUA